rnacentral:misc_RNA from 1 species
UUUCCGUAGGUGAACCUGCGGAAGGAUCAUUAUCGUAUAAAAUGGAGGUGCUGGGGCUGUCGCUGACCUUUGAAAAAGGUCGUGCACGCCCGGAGCACUCUCUCAUAUCCAUCUCACCCCUUUGUGCAUUGCCGCGUGGGUCCCCUUUUGGCUUGUUCCGAGGGGGACCUGCGUUUUUACAUAGACACCCUUUGAAUGCAUGUGUAGAACGUCUUACUUUUUGCGAUCACACGCAAUCAAUACAACUUUCAACAACGGAUCUCUUGGCUCUC